GCCGGGCGUGGUGGUGCACGCCUGUAGUCCCAGCUACUUGGGAGGCUGAGGCAGGAGAAUGGCAUGAACCCGGGAGGCGGAGCUUGCAGUGAGCUGAGAUUGGGCCACUGCAUUCCAGCCUGGGUGACAAAGCAAGACUCUGUCUCAA
rnacentral:SRP_RNA from 1 species